CCUACGGGAGGCAGCAGUGGGGAAUAUUGCACAAUGGGCGCAAGCCUGAUGUAGCCAUGCCGCGUGUAUGAAGAAGGCCUUCGGGUUGUAAAGUACUUUCAGCGAGGAGGAAGGUGUUGUGGUUAAUAACCGCAGCAUUGACGUUACUCGCAGAAGAAGCACCGGCUAACUCCGUGCCAGCAGCCGCGGUAAU
rnacentral:rRNA from 1 species